AGCAGCCGCGGUAAUUCCAGCUCCAAUAGCGUAUAUUAAAGUUGUUGCAGUUAAAAAGCUCGUAGUUGAACUUCGGGGUCUACCCAUUGGUCAGGCUUAAUUGUCUGUACUGGUGAGAUGGAUCUCUACCUUCUGAGGAACUUUCAUGCCAUUUAUUUGGUGUGAUUGGAAAUCAGGACUGUUACUUUGAAAAAAGUUAGAGUGUUUAAAGCAGACUAUCGUCUGAAUACAUUAGCAUGGAAUAAUGAAAUAGGACGGACUGAUUCUAUUUCGUUGGUUUCUAGGAUCACCGUAAUGAUUAAUAGGGAUAGUUGGGGGCAUUAGUAUUCAAUUGUCAGAGGUGAAAUUCUUGGAUUUAUUGAAGACUAACUACUGCGAAAGCAUUUUGCCAAGGAUGUUCUCAUUAAUCGAGAACGAAAGUUAGGGGCAUCGAAGACGAUCAGAUACCGUCGUAGUCUUAACCAUAAACUAUGCCGACUAGGGAUCGGACGAAGUUAAUUUUAUAAUGACGCGUUCGGCA
rnacentral:rRNA from 1 species